ACCUGCUAUACUUUAUGCCCUAAAUACCACAAAGAUACCAGAUCCCCUCUGAUCUUGUAAGCUGAGUAGGGUCAAUCCUGGUUAGUACCUGGAAGAGAGACCAUGAAUGAAUCCCUGAUAUUGUGGGUU
rnacentral:rRNA from 11 species